AUUGAACGCUGGCGGCAGGCCUAACACAUGCAAGUCGAACGAGUGGCGGACGGGUGAGUAAUGUCUGGGAAACUGCACGAUGGAGGGGGAUAACUACUGGAAACGGUAGCUAAUACCGCAUACCAUCGGAUGUGCCCAGAUGGGAUUCGCUAGUAGGUGGGGUAACGGCUCACCUAGGCUACGCUCCCUAGCUGGUCUGAGAGGAUGACCAGCCAAACUGGAACGGAGACACGGUCCAGACUCCUACGGGAGGCAGCAGUGGGGAAUAUUGCACAAUGGGCGCAAGCCUGAUGCAGCAAUGCCGAGUGUGUGAAGAAGGCCUUCGGGUUGUAAAGCACUUUCAGCGGGGAGGCGUGACCCGCAGAAGAAGCACCGGCUAACUCCGUGACAGCAGCCGCGGUAAUAC
rnacentral:rRNA from 1 species